rnacentral:rRNA from 1 species
CCUACGGGGGGCUGCAGUAAGGGAUCUUGCGACAAUGGGCGAAAGCCUGACGCAGCAACGCCGCGUGCGGGAUGACGGCCUUCGGGUUGUAAACCGCUUUUCGGGGGGAAGAGGAAGGACGGUACCCCCGGAAGAAGUCUCGGCUAACUACGUGCCAGCAGCCGCGGUAAAACGUAGGAGGCGAGCGUUAUCCGGAUUUACUGGGUGUAAAGCGCGUGUAGGCGGUCGUGCAAGUGGUGCGUGAAAGCGCCCGGCUCAACCGGGCGAGGACGUGGGCGAACUGCGCGACUAGAGGCAGGUAGAGGCGUGUGGAAUUCCGGGUGUAGUGGUGAAAUGCGUAGAGAUCCGGAGGAACACCAGUGGCGAAGGCGACACGCUGGGCCUGGCCUGACGCUGAGAGGCGAAAGCAUGGGGAGCGAACGGGAUUAGAUACCCUAGUAGUCU